rnacentral:rRNA from 1 species
AUUGAACGCUGGCGGCAUGCUUUACACAUGCAAGUCGAACGGCAGCGCGGGCUUCGGCCUGGCGGCGAGUGGCGAACGGGUGAGUAAUGCAUCGGAACGUGCCCAGUAGUGGGGGAUAGCCCGGCGAAAGCCGGAUUAAUACCGCAUACGACCUGAGGGUGAAAGCGGGGGACCGAAAGGCCUCGCGCUAUUUGAGCGGCCCAAGUCGGAUUAGCUAGUUGGUUGGGUAAAGGCUUACCAAGGCGACGAUCCGUAGCUGGUCUGAGAGGACGACCAGCCACACUGGAACUGAGACACGGCCCAGACUCCUACGGGAGGCAGCAGUGGGGAAUUUUGGACAAUGGGGGAAAGCCUGAUCCAGCCAUGCCGCGUGCGGGAAGAAGGCCUUCGGGUUGUAAAACGCUUUUAUUAGGGAAGAAAUACUCUGUGCUAAUACCUCGGGGGGAUGACGGUACCGGAAGAAUAAGCACCGGCUAACUACGUG